AAAAUAACAGUCAUCACUCAGAAUGCUAAGGAACCUUAAUCUAAACAGGAAGUGGGAAGGGCGGUGAGAAUAUCCCUGUGUCUUCAUUAAAGUCGUUCCCUUCAUUCGUUAACACAUGGUUAUGCUUUCCAAUGGGAUGAAGUGAAACUCCCAAGUGUGUUUUGUAUUGUUGUUGUUUUUAUAUUUCUCAGCCAUGCCCCAGUCACCUUUUAGGGUUAUUACUAGAUUGACUUCCCCUACAUAAAGUGUCUGCUGAGUGGGAGGAUGGAACAUUCUCAACUCAAUAUUCCAGAGCCUAGAAUUUAAUUGUUUCUGCCACUCCCUGUGUGGCCUUGGGUAAGUCCCUUAGUGUAUCUGUGCCUCCAUUUCCUUUCCAGUCCAGAGAGGGCAAUUUGACUUGAUGAUUUUAAAGGUGCCUUUUACCAAAAUUUUGUGAUUUCUUGAAAAUGAUGUUUGCGAGUCACCCACACCUUUGGGGAUGAGACUAAUAGCAGACACCCUCAGAGAUUGGGAUGUAGAUUACUGAGCUUUCUUAUAUAGGCCAUUGGUUGUCAUUUAUACGCUUCUGAGGUUUUCAGAACAGGAAAAUAGGAGGGGUUAACUCUGCCCGUGAGAAACAUCUUUGGUGAACUAUGAUUUCAGUUGAAAGAUGUGUUUUUGUGAGUGGAGCACCGCAGAAGAACUGAAGACUUGUGUGCUCUGUGUGCUCCCCGCAGAAGGGGCUGCCAUGAUCCUUUCCUCUUAUAACACCAUCCAGUCGGUUUUCUGUUGCUGCUGUUGCUGUUCAGUGCAGAAGCGACAAGUGAGAACACAGAUAAGCUUGAGCACAGAUGAAGAGCUUCCAGAAAAAUACACCCAGCGUCGCAGGCCGUGGCUCAGCCAACUGUCAAAUGAGAAGCGAUCCAACAGGGGCCGUGUGCAACUGUCGAAACGAAAGCCACUGCCUCCUCUCCCACCCUCUGAGGUUGCUGAAGAGAAGAUCCAAGUCAAGGCACUUUAUGAUUUUCUGCCCAGAGAACCUUGUAAUUUAGCCCUAAGGAGAUCAGAAGAAUACCUGAUACUGGAGAAAUACAAUCCUCACUGGUGGAAGGCAAGAGACCGUUUGGGGAAUGAAGGCUUAAUCCCAAGCAACUACGUGACUGAAAACAAAAUAACUAAUUUAGAAAUAUAUGAGUGGUACCAUAGAAACAUUACCAGAAAUCAGGCAGAACGUCUAUUGAGACAAGAGUCUAAAGAAGGUGCAUUUAUUGUCAGAGAUUCAAGACAUUUAGGAUCCUACACAAUUUCUGUAUUUAUAGGAGCUAGAAGAAGUACGGAGGCUACCAUAAAACAUUAUCAGAUAAAAAAGAAUGACUCAGGACAGUGGUACGUGGCUGAAAGACACUUCUUUCAAUCAAUCCCCGAGUUAGUCUGGUAUCACCAGCACAAUGCAGCCGGUCUCAUGACACGUCUCCGAUAUCCAGUUGGGCUGAUGGGCAGUUGUUUACCAGCCACAGCUGGGUUUAGCUACGAAAAGUGGGAGAUAGAUCCGUCUGAGUUGGCUUUUAUAAAGGAGAUUGGAAGUGGUCAGUUUGGAGUGGUCCAUUUAGGUGAAUGGCGGUCGCAUAUCCAGGUAGCUAUCAAGGCCAUCAAUGAAGGCUCCAUGUCUGAAGAGGAUUUUAUUGAAGAGGCCAAAGUGAUGAUGACAUUAUCUCAUUCAAAGCUAGUGCAACUUUAUGGGGUCUGCAUACAGCGGAAGCCCCUUUAUAUUGUGACAGAGUUCAUGGAAAAUGGCUGCCUGCUUAACUAUCUCAGGGAGAGAAAAGGAAAGCUUAGGAAGGAAAUGCUACUGAGCAUAUGCGAAGAUAUAUGUGAAGGAAUGGAAUAUCUGGAGAGAAAUGGCUAUAUUCAUAGGGAUUUGGCAGCAAGAAAUUGUUUGGUCAGUUCAACAUGCAUAGUAAAAAUUUCGGACUUUGGAAUGACGAGGUACGUUUUGGAUGAUGAGUAUAUCAGUUCUUUUGGAGCCAAGUUCCCUAUCAAGUGGUCCCCUCCCGAAGUUUUUCUUUUCAAUAAGUACAGCAGUAAAUCCGAUGUCUGGUCAUUUGGAGUUUUAAUGUGGGAAGUUUUUACAGAAGGAAAAAUGCCUUUUGAAAAUAAGUCAAAUUUGCAAGUCGUGGAAGCUAUUACUGAAGGCUUCAGGUUGUAUCGCCCUCACCUGGCACCAAUGUCCGUAUACGAAGUCAUGUACAGCUGCUGGCAUGAGAAACCCAAAGGCCGCCCUACAUUUGCUGACCUGCUGCAGGCACUCACAGAGAUUGCAGAAACCUGGUGACCUGAAAUGGAAUGCCAACCCAAAGAAUCAUCUUGCAAAACUGUCACUUAUUGUGAAUAUCUUCACCAUAUGGGGACACUUAUGCACUGCGGUGUGUUAAAUGUACAACCUAAAAUACAUAGUAUUUGGGAAGAUUGAAGUGAUUUGGAGUGAUCAAAGGGGAAGAAGAGAGAUGUAAUGAAGAGCAGGGAAGAGGAAAUUGGCAGAAGUAAGAACCUGGAACUGGAGGUAUGAAAGAUAUGGGUUGCCCAUCAUCUGUGGGAUGGACACACACAGACACAGACACACACACACACACACACACAUUUGGUUACUUGUAUCUCUACCUCUUAAAAAGUGUUGGUCUUGUUGAAUGUUUAACAAGAAACUUGACAGAUUUGGCUAAACAAGUUUUGGGGUUAGCAUUGGAGACAGAUGCAUUGCUCGACCCGUAGAAAAACUGAAGAAAGACAGAGGAUGAGAGAAGCAGGGAAACAGCUGGAGGUAGAAUGGUGCUUGAUAGACUGGGGGCACAGGAAUGGCUGCUUUCUUAGGGUGUCCAUGAUGUGACCUCCCCCACUUCCAUUAGCCCUUGUUAUUCAGUAGAGUCUGUUGGGAUCAUGAAUGCUGUGUUUAAGAGGGUUUUAUUACAUGUGUAGAAGUAUACAAGGUGUAUUUUAUAUUUGGUUCUACACAAUACAGAGCAAAGAUCACAUGAAACACGGAAAUCUGGAAGGCAAGAGAAACUCUAAGCACAUAACCCCCCUGAGAAUUUAUCUAAACUUCGAGAAGACUUUGGAUAUAUACAAGGUGUGCAGUUGCUACAUUGAGGAUAAGGCAAAAGCCGAUUUUGAGAGUAAAUAGAACCUCAGCUAACAUACAGGUUACAGAUAUUUAACUUCCCAAUAGCCUGGAUUUCUGGAAAAGGUUACAGAUAUUUAACUUCCUGAUAGCCUGGAUAUCUGGAAAAUUUAAGGAGUUCACAUCUGGGUGACAGUUGCCUUAGCAGAAAAAUCCAAACAUAAAUGGUAUGAGAUGCAGAAGACAUACAAUUAAAGAUACAAUUAAACAAGAAAAUUACAAUUGGGACCAAGGGGAGGCCAUUCCCAGAGCCACAUGUGAAGAGUUUCCCUACUUCAUCUGCAGAGAAGAACUGGAUAUUAACUGGAGAACCUCGUAUAACCCACAGAUACACACUCACAUAUAGCCAGUACAGAUUCACUCCCCAAUGCUCAGUGUAAGAAGUUAACAUUGUUUUUAUUUUUCUUUAUAAAGACUUUUGAAUUUUUAAAAUUUAUUUAUUUGAGAUGGAGUCUCACUCUGUCACCCCAGCUGGAAUGCAGUGGCAUGAUCUUGGAUCACUGCAAAUUCCUUCUCCCAGGUUCAAGCAAUUCUCCUGCUUUAGCCUCAUGUAUAUCUGGGAUUACAGGUACGCACCACCACAGCCGGCUAAUUUUUAUUUUAAUUAAUUAUUUUAAUUUUAAUUUUAUUUUUAGUAGAGACAAGGUUUUGCCAUGUUGGUCAGGCUGGUCUCGAACUCCUAACCUCAAGUGAUCCACCUGCCUUGGCCUCCUGAAGUAGUGGGAUUAAAAGCGCAAGCCUCGGUGCCCAGCCAACAUUGUUUUUCUGAAUCAAAUUUAAUCUGGUCCUGAAACUCUCCCUUGUUAUAGUUGGUGAGAAAUGCCUUUUGUGGGGAGACACUCUGCCUGACUUCCCAAGGAGAGACAAAAGUCCUGGAGGCUUCUGUGCUGCAUCAAAAAAUAGAGCUCAGGGGUGGGGGUGCAGGGAGGGGCAUCCUGGGCCCUGUGAGUUCUAUUGUUCUUUCCCUUUCAGGAUGAGCUGUCGCUGAUCCUCUGCUUCUGUCUGGCAUAGAGAUCCCUGUCAUAGGAGUCCUCCCUGCUGACUGUGGGCUCAGCCCCCAGGGCCUACCCACGGCUCUCUAGGAAGCCAUAUCCCUUAGUGCUCAGCCUCUCACACAUCCUGGGACCAUUUUCUUAUUCUCAGUGCUGUAGAGCUUGGGCCUUGACCCUUAAAACAAAAUUAUUUUGACACUUGGUAAAAUGGUAUGGGAGAUUUCAUUUGAAAGUAUUGCAAAUAGUAGAGAGAGACGAACUCAACUCUGACUACAGCAAAGGCAGCUGGAGUCAGUAGAUAUGAAAUAGUAGGGGGAUCGUCGCUAAACUGGUUUAACAAGAUUCUAACUAAUGGCAGAUCAAGGACUAAGAUAUUAAGGAUGAGGAAUUUGAUCAAAUAUCAAGGGUUGGGGAUUUCUUGCUAAACUGACUUAGCAGGAUUCUUGCUAAAGCCAGGCCAAAGAUGGGCCUGAGAUUAGGCCUUAGUAAGAAGAGGCUCAUAGAAACGUUAACUAAAAUUUGGCCAAAAAGGGAGUCUGUUAUCACUCCUCAUGUUAGUGGCCAGUCUCAGGAAAGCCAGCCUCUCGCCUCCAGAUCAGUGCAUUUCUGUUUCAUAUUUAAGAACCACCCUCCACCCACUCUGGAUGUCACAAAAUGAUAUCCAUAUUGUCUUCACUGGAUCUAAGUCUCAAACACUAUUUUAAUUCUGGGGAACUUAGGUGUUGUAAGAAGCACAAACCUUGUCAAUCACAAUCUUGCCUUUUUUUCCUGGGAUAAGAGUGGGGAAGGAGAUGCCUUAUUACUCCCUGAUGAAGUUCCAAACUUUCAAAAGAAAACAAAAUAUCUUUUUAUCAGUGAGUCACUCUUCCCUUAAAAACAUAUGCAGUUCCUUCACUCAUGUUGUACUUGCGCUCUUUCCUGUGUCUGCCUUGAAUUGUGUUACUAUGAAAACAUCUUCCAGACAGUAGCAUCACUUAGGGUGCAAGUAGGGGCGAUGUGUUUUUAGUUUCCUAAGGACAGGGUGUGUGGUUUGGGCAAGGGGCAGUUUCUCAGCUCCCUUUGGAGAAUCUUCUUCAUUCAGACUCUAGUUUCUCUAGAUCCAAGGGUUCUCAGAUCUCUUAGCAUGGUUCACAUUAUGGGCUGGAUAAGUCUUUGUUGUGAGAGAAUGUGCUGUGCAUUGGAGGAUAUUUAGCACCAUCUUUGGCCUUUACCCAGUAUAUGCUGAUGCCCCUCCCCCAGGAGAAACAACCAGAAAUGUCUCUAGAACAUUGCCAAAUUUAUGUAUAUGUUCAGCUUUUGCAAAUAAUGCUCCUAAGUGCCUAGAACGUUGUCUUUAUGUAAUGUCUCUAGAACAUUGUGUUCUAGAGACAUUUCUGGCUGUUUCUCCUGGGGGAGGCAAAAUCGCCCCUGGUUGAGAACCACCGAUUUAAUUACUAAAGCUUCUUGACCUGGGUUUAAGGAGGUCCAUGGACUUGGAUGGAGAAAAGAAAUUACAUCUUUAUUUUUUAUUUAUCUCUAAUUAAAUGUUAGCAUUUCCCACAAUUCCAAAUGUGAAUUCACAUUUCCCAUGAUACUAAAUGUGAAUUCACAUCUAGAAUUAUGGAAAAAAACACACAAAACUCUAGUACUUUAUAUAAGCAGUUUCUGUGACUUCGUCAAAAUAUGAAAAAGUAGUAUUUUCAUGUCAUGUGGGAGUUGUUUCAACUUUCCCAAUUUACAUUCAUCACUACUUCAAAGUUGUGAUCGCUUCUAGAACUGUCACUACAUCCUGUCAUUUAACACAAUAAAAAGACAUUUUAUGAAAGCACAAAUUUGUUUUUUAAAUAUUUUGAUCACUUUAUGUCAAAAUAAUUGGUUUCCUUUUUAGUUCUAUGUACUCCUAUUUUAUGCAUUUAAAAACAUUAUUCCAGCCGGGCAUGGUGGUACAUGCCUAUAGUCCCAGCUAUUCAGGAAGCUGAGAUAGGAGGAUCACUUGAGCCCAGGAGGUCGAGGCCGCAGUGAACUAUGUUUGUGCCACAGCACUCCAGCUGUGGCAACAGAGCAAGACCUUGUCUCAAAAAAGAAAAAAAAACCACAAAAAUUAUUCCAAGAAGGAGUAUAAAGUCUUCCCUAGACUUCCAAAGAGAUCUGUAGCAUAAAAAAAGAUUCAAAACCCUUCUGUAUCCAACAGGAUUUCUGAAUCUGGAGGGAUGUAUGCUGGGCCACACAUAACCAAUCAGCCACUUACUGUUGGCUAACAAGCAGCCCCAUGAGGAUUUAAUUCUGGCCAGUCGUGCAAGCUGAUUCCCUGAUGUGCAUAUCCAGCCCAGCCUUUUUCACCCCAGAUAUUACUGGGACUGGUCCUUGGCUCUGGUUUGCAUGUCUCCUUUUCCACCCGCCUUGCACCCUCUAUGGUAGUAUCCAAGACAUGAUGAGUGAAGAGCCUCAACUGCUUCCAUGUUUGGCAGCAGAGAGAGAGAAGCUGGCUUCAACCCCUCCCUCCUUCCAGUUGGCCUGGGGUUCAUUUCCAGAUGGGCAUUUCAGCCUCUCUUUUCCUCUGGAGCCACACCCAGUUAGUUGAAGGGAAAUAGAGUGGGUGAAUCAUAUCUCUCUGGAGGCAGGGUGGCUCCAUGCCACUUUCAAAACAAGACAAAACAAAACUCCAAUUUGAACUGGCAUUUUUGGUUCUUACCACCAGGCAGGGGAUGCUACUGGCAUCGAGUGAAUAGAGACCAGUGAUGUUGCUAAACAUCCUACAAAGAACACGUGCCCCACAACAAAGAAUUAUCUGGCUCAAAAUGUCAACAGUGCUAAGGCUAAAAGGGGUAUCAUUAGACCCUGUGACUGUGGAGUUCAGGGGUGCAGACAUUCACCCUGUUAUCAUCCUUCCAGCUCCAUUUCUCAUGUCUCAGGCUACCUCCUCUUCUACCUCUCCCAGAUGAAAAGUGGAUGCUGUGGUCACAUACCUUACCUUGGCAGACUAUACCAUCCAGAGGGAGAGAACAUCUCUGUCCUUGCAUUUCCACCAGAGUCCUGAAAUUCUCUCUAACUGGAUCAGAUCCACACGCCCACUAGGUGUGUGUAGCUAGUGGCAUGGAAUGCUUUGAUUGGUUUGGACUUGGGCAUGUGUUUCCUCAAGAGCCAAGGCUGAAAUCCAUUUACCUUGAAAAUGGAAACUGAGAGCCAUUCAGAGGGUCUGGAAAGGGGAGUGAUAGAUGCUGGAAUGAUAGUCAGCAAAUACCAAAUGUUCAUCUUUUCCCAAUUCCCCUCUUGCUUUCUGGCCAUUUUGCAUGUAAUCUGCCAUCUUCUCUUUCUUUUCUUUUUUCUUUUUUUUUAAGAGUAGGUCUUACUCUGUUGCCCAAGCUGGAGUAUAGUCGUGUGAUCGUGGCUCACUGCAACCUCUGCCUCCUGGGUUCAAGCAAUUCUCCUGCCUCAGCCUCCUCCAUAGUAGCUGAGAUUACAGACGUGUGCUAACACACCCAGCUCAUUUUUGUGUUUUUUGGUAGAGAUGGGGCUUUCUCUGUGUUGGCCAGGCUGGUCUCAAACUCCUGGCCUCAAGUGAUCUGCCUGUCUUGGCAUCCCAAUGUGUGAGGAUUGCAGGCCUGAGCCACUGCACCCAGCUGUACCUUCUUCUCUAGUAACAAAUUGGAGCACUUCAGCUAUGACCUUUAUUUUUCUAAAGAAAGUUAGGUUAAACAUGAUGAGUAAAUUGGGAGAAUGUUGUCAAUAUUUAGUGCCGGUUGGCCAGAUUCUGUUUUCUCUAGUACUUCAAGUGAUCUGGGAGCAAAUUUUCUCACAGUUAGAAAUAACAAUAUAUGAAGAUCUUAAGAAAAAGCUGACAAUCCUAUGCAGGUACCUUCCUUGAAUGCAAGUAAUGGUGGGUUUGGUGGCUUUCACCACAAGGAGCUGUCUGGGAAAGCUGAAAUGCAGUUUGGAGAUAAAGGGAGAACUUUAUCUAGUAGUGACAUUGAACAUAAUUAACUGAUUUGACAAGGCACAAACAUACCUAUUAGAGUGAAUGCUAACAGCUAGCAAUAGCAGCCCUUCCAGUGCAGACUGUGACUCUCAGCCCUGGCAAGGUGACCUCACAGUGUGAAGCGAAGGGAAAGGGCUGUUUGUGUUGGAGCGGUGCCCCUGCACCUCUGGUCUCCACAUUUCUCAUCAUCCUAGUUGCUGCUUACCCCGCUAGCUUUUGCAGGUGGAGUUGGUGACUGGUGUGGACUGGUCUUUCCUGACUUGGCCAGGGCACAGAAGCUCUCCCUGGCUGACUUGAUCUCACCCCAGCUCUUGCUGGCACUACGGGCUGAGAGUGUAAGUUUAGACUGCCACAGCCUUCCAUGGCCCCUCAGCCUGGGUUGCAGGUCACCUUGCUCUCAAAGGGUGAGUGUUAUGUCUGCUUCUGACUCAACUCAGCUGCUUCCAGAGGCCCAUCCUGAGCACAGGUGGGAACUUCUGGGUCCUGUCCAUACCACACAGGGACUGAGAAUAGCUCCAAAAGCUAAAACUUCACAAUUUUGCACUCCUGCCUCUACCCUCACUCCCCUGCUUAAUCACGCUGUGUGGCAGAGUUUUCCACGGCUGCUUUCCAGACAGUUCGUGGGGCAGUUCCCUCCAGGAAUCCGAAUACGAGGCAGAGUGCAAGCCUCCUUGCCAUUGCCAGUAUCCUCUACCCGGCCCUCCUGCCCCCACAAGUAUCUUCAACCCUUCUAACACCACUCUCCCUCUUCUGCCCACAAACCACUGGGCUGGAGAAUGUGAACGUUUCAUUUCCUCUUCCUGGUGUGGUUUUCACACACUAGAAUGAUCUGAGAGCUUUUCAAAAAUACCAUUGCUCAUGUUUCACAUUCUCAUCCCCCUCCAUCCAUGCAGUUCUGAUUUAACCUCUCUUAGAGGGACCCAGGCAUUGGUAGUUUUAAAACCAGCACUCCAGGUGAUUCCAAUGGGCAGCCAGGGCUGAGCGCCGCUGUUCUAGGACAGUUCUUAAACGUCCCUGCUUAUUAACAUCUUCUGGGAGCUUUAAAAAAUCCCGAUGCCGAAGCUGCACCCCAGGCCAAUUAAAUCAAAAUAUCUAGGCCAGGAAUUGGUAUUUUAAAAGGUUCCCUGGGCUAUUCCAAUGGCAAAUGUGAAAACUAGGGUUCUUCUAAGCCAGUUCUUCUUAAACUUUAAUGCAUUAGUACAUGCAGUCACCUGGGGGCCUGGUUAAAAUGUAGAUUCUGAUUCAGGAGGUCUGUGUUAGAGCUUCAGAUUUUGAAUUUCUAACAAGUGCCCAGGUAAUGACACAGGUGCUGGUCCUUGGACCAUAUCCUUCUUCACAGAGGUUCGUUCAUUUGUCUCAAAACUCCCUUAACUAACAAGAUUUCAGGAAGAGGAUAACUAGUUUAUGGGUAAAUAGAGUUCUUUAAAAAACAUUAUACCCACGAUGCAUGGCAACAGAUAGCUUCCCGGUGGACACUGACUUUCUAUUCCAAAAGUCAGCUACAACUCAUUAUUCUUCAUGUUUUGGAAGCUAGAAUUCUCAAUUUUUUGGGCCCUCUCAUAGCAAGCAUACUACAUGAGAAAGUUCCAUGUAGUGAGAUAAUAGCCGGAAGUGCCUGGAGAAGGCUUCCUUUCCCAAAUAAAAAUCCCAGGUCUUAAUAGAAGGAAAAAUUGUUUGCAUCUUCCUGCUUGGAAUAUGGCUUUGGGACCUGGAAGUAGAGCACCCAUCUGUGACUCUGAGGAAACAGGCAUGAAGAUGAAGGCCUGGACACAGGGCUGCCAAUAAAAUAUGAGACAGCUGGUAAAUUUGAAUUUCAGAUAUACAAUGAAUUUUUUUUUUUUUUUUUUUUUUUUUUGAAAUGGAGUCCAGCUCUGUCUCCCAGGCUGAAGGGCAGUAGCACAAUCUCAGCUUAUUGCAAACUCGGCCUCCCAGGUUCAAGUGAUUCUUCUGCCUCAGCCUUCCGAGGAGCUGGGACUACAGGUACCCACCAUUACGCCUGGCUAAUUUUUGUAUUUUUAGUAGAGACAGGGUUUCACUGUGUAAGCCAGGAUGGUCUCAAUCUCCUGACCUCGUGAUCCAUCCACCUUGGCCUCUCAAAGUGCUGGGAUUACAGGCGUGAGCCACCACGCCCAGCUAACAAUGCAUCAUUUUUUAGUGUAAGUGUUGCAGUCACCCUCCACAUUGUCAUCACCCCCAGAAAUGGAUGAACCCCUUGCUCCAAAUUUGCUUCAAAUAUUGGGAUUAUUGAUGUCAUACCCAAAGAGGAUAUGAAAAGGUUUAUGACUCAAAUAAUGGGACUUUCUGAGGAGCAUAGGGCAGGCUCACAAGCAGGUCUGAAAACAGGCUGAGCGAGUGGGGAGGGCAGGAGGCCUUGGGGUUUUAUGAAAGGGCUGAGGCUGGUGUAGUUUGAGCUUCCAGCUGGCAUGAAAGAAGGGAAUACUUUGAUUUUCUUAUUAUUUUGCCCAGGUGUAGGGCAGAAUGGGGGGGAUACUGAGUCUUGCAAGUUGUCAGCAAAUAUGAAAAACAAAAUCAGACUGUUUAUUACCAUAACUGUGUUACAAAUAUCUUAUGGGACAUGCUUACACUAAAAUUUACUCAUUCUUUAUCUGAAAUUCAGGUUUAACUGGGUGUCCUGACCUGUGCUUUUAUUUGCUAAGUCUGGCAGUUCUACCUAUGAAGUAGAAAAAUAGAAGGAGCCUGGACCCUCCUAGUGUUCUUGAGAUGCUACACUGAUUCUGAGCUGCCCGCUUCCAGACUCAUUAUAUGAGACAAGGCAUUGGUGGUUUUAAAACCAAGCACCCCACAAAUCAGAAAGCUUAUUUAAGUCUUAAGAAACAGGACUUAAGUCUUAUUCCUAAAUGUUACAUUUCUGCUGACUCUUCUGGUAGCAGCUAGUGGGCUAUCCAAUUCCACUUCUCAAGCCCUUAAUUAUACAGAUGAUGCUAAUAUAAAUGAUUGUUGUGGAUGCCAAGGACUGCCGGCAUUCAUAUGCGGCUUUGCUACUUCCUACCUUCCUAAGUUCUUCCCCAACUUAUGCCUCCUCUUCUGUAAAAUGGGCAUGAUAACCCAUAUUUCACAGAGUUGUUAGAAUUAAAUAAGAUUGUGUGUACGAGAUACUUAGUACUCAGUAAGUCUUAGCUAAUAUGUGCUUAUUUAUUUGGAUUAGUUAAAUUGCUUGUAGUAAAAAUGUUAUGGGCUGAAUGUUUGUGCCCCCGUCUCACCCAACCAAAUUCAUUAUGUUGAAACCCUGACCCCUAAUGCGAUGGUUUUUGAGAUGGGGCCCUUGGGAGGUGAUUAGGAUCAGAUGAGGUCCUGAGGGUGGAAUCUUCAUGAUGGGAUUACUGCCCUCAUAAGACGAGAUGACAGAGAGCUUGCUCUACUGCUGGACACACAGCAUUAAGGUGGCCAUCUGCAAGCUGGGAAGAGAGCUGCACCAGAACCGAACUUUGCUGGUGCCUAACCUUGGACUUCUAGCCUCCAGUACCGUGGGAAGUUUCUGUUGUUUAAGCUACAUCGUUUAUGGUAUUGUGCUAAUGGCAGCUCAAGCUGUCUAAUGCAAAGGUAAUCUAUGUCAAUUUUUGCGUAAAUAUCUUAGAUAAGUUAUGAAUAAUAACAUUGUUGAAUUCCCUGUUUUUCAAGAAGGUAUAACUAUCAUUGUUGGGGGAGAGUGGGAGCAGAUUAUGUACCUUAUUUCAAAGAUGGUUGAAAUCUAAGAAAUUGAGAAUAACCACAACCACAGAAUGUAUAUCAUUAUUUCAGCACUUUUUUUAAAGCAACUCUGAAAUUGGGAUGUGACUUCUAAUAGGUGAGAUCUUAGAUUACAUCUGUGGUUUUCAAUCCUAGUUGCAUAUUCAAAUCACCUGGGGAGAUUUUAACAAAUAUUGUUAUCUUGAUCCUACCCUCAGAUGUUCUAUUUAAUUGGCUUGAGGUGGGGCCCAGGAAUGAAUCAGAGGGACCUAAGGAAUAGGUAAUUAAAUUAAUUCAUUAGUUUGUUUGAGACAGAGUCUCACUCUGUCACCCCAGCCUGGAGUGGUGUGAUCUCGCCUCCCAGGUUCAAGUGAUUUUCCUGCCUCAGCUUCCCGAGUAGCUGGGAUUAAAGACACCUGCCACCAUGCCCGGCUAAUUUUUGUAUUUUUAGUAGAGACAGCGUUUUGCCAUGUCGGCCACACUGGUCUCAAACUCCUGACCUCAGGUGAUCCACCCAUGUACACUUCCCAAAGUGCUCUGGGAUUACAGGUGUGAGCCAGUGCACCAAUAGGAAUAGGUAAUUUUAAAGUAAUUUUUUAAACUCUCUGCAGGUGAAGGUAAAUGUAUAGCCAGGGCCAAAAAUAUUAAAUUAGAUAAAAUAUGUACAAAUGUUUACUCUGGAUUGAGGCUUCUUGUGAGGUUUAUUAAAAAGUAGAUCAUUGGGAGAAAGAUAUCCCCUCAAUGCUUAUGACUAACAGCUUUUCAGCAAGCUAUCGCUGAUUAACUCAUCACAUGUGUUAGCUAGCUUCUCUGCUAGUUCACUGAUAGAUAAAGGUUAAAAGCAGUUGUGUCAGUCACCAGAAUAGCUAUGGAUUAAAGCUAAAAAGAGCAGAGGGAAUACAAUGCUAUGCAACAGAGAGCUGGAAUACCAUCAGGGAGCUUGUGGCUUCUCCUCACUUGAUUUCAAUAGGACCAGGUCUCUGGAGCAAAAUACUAGAGGUGCUGAGAAACUGGUGGAAUUCUACACUGUGUAUCUCAUGAGGGAGUGAACCCUUAGCAAAGAGUCGGAGGUUCAAAUAUCUUAAAAGGGGAUUUAAAAAAAAAAUUAUUUUGUGGAGUGGUUGAUUACAGAAAUGACAAUCAGGUGAGUAGAUUUCCGACUAAAGUCAGCAUUGUCUUGUCAUGAAAUUUCAUGUAAUGAAAUUGAGCAUGUUUCUGCUUAGGUACGUAUUUUGCAUCUCACCCUCUAUGUUCUCAUUGAUCAUGAUGAAGUCACCUUUCAGAGACACCAGACACAUACAUGUGUUUGAUGACAGUGGUUACUCUUCACUCUGUUAGACCGUGAAUUGUUCAGAUAUUGUGAAAGUAGAACAUGUGGUUACAUUCAGGUAUCUCCUUUCUCCAGCCCCUGCUACCCCACCCUGAACAGCAAAACCAAGAGUGUAACACUUGAUCUAGUUUGACUAGUUCCUCCAUGCUUUUUAUUUUUCCUUUUUGCUGCAGGCUAAUUUUCAAUCAGCAGGUGCCUCCCCAUAAAGUGGAACUGUUUUGUGUAAGCUGCAUUGAAUUCCUUAGGUUUGUCUGACUCUAAACCAGUUUGGUUCUGACAGUGAGAGAAACAUGGCACUGAUGCUGGUCCUUUCUGCCCAGGUAAACUUGAUCCAGUCUGUUUCCGUGUUGCCUGAAAAGACCAAAUCACUGCAUUAUUUAAAUUCAUGCCCUGAGAUCCUGAAAGCAGAGUCUCAAAACUGCUAGAAAGCCUAACCUUUUAAAAAUGUACAUGCAAGACUACUCAGACCUAAUUAAGUUAGAGCAAGCUCACAAUGGUAAAGCCUCAUUUCAUUCUGCCUUUAAGAAUUUAUUUUUUCUUCCAGUCUUGCCCCUUCUAACCCAGCUUUACAGUUCCAUGUGUUAAGAAGAGGAGAGAUUUCUUUUAUUGAAAUACACUUUUAUUGAAAACUCUUGGUAAUAUGAUGAAACAUCAGCAGUGAAAACAAAGGCAAAAGCAAAUGAGAGACAGAGAGGCCUUCUGAGCUGAAGGGCUGAAACCGCCAUUGCAGAGUAUCGAUAGGAGGAUUGUUGUGGGGAAAGAGGUCUGACCUAACUGACUCCAUCUUCCUUCCAACCUCCAAGCUGUCCUUGUUCUAUUUUGGGCAUAGGCUGAAUUAACUUUGGGAGGAACUUACAGUUUAACUUUGAAACACAAACAUUAACAGUCCUUUCCCAAAACAAACCCCUUCUUGCCUGUGGACUAGACUGCAUUUGAAGGACUAAUAAAUUCACCACAAAAGUAUAAAUUAUGGUUGAAAAGUCAUGCAGCUGGAUGCUACAAAAUUCUGACUCUCCCCAAAUUGCUCCUGGAGAUAACAUCACUAUUAUAAAACCUAAGAUUAGUGCUUGAGAUAUUUCAUAGAAUCUACACCUGAUGGAUCAGCCGGCACCACCCAGGUAGAUAAACUGGCUCAUCAGGUCCUGUGGCCCCCACCCAGGAACCAACUCAGCACAAGACAGCUUCUACUCCCCGUGAUUUCAUCCCCAACCCAGCCAAUUAACACUCCUACCUCACUGCCUCCUACCCACCAAAUUUUCCUUAAAAAACGCUGAUCCCUGAAUGCUCCCGUAGACUGAUUUGAGUAAUAAUGAAACUCCCAUCUCCCAUACUGGCCAGCUCUGCAUGAAUAACUCUCUCCAUUGCAAUUUCCCUGUCUUGAUAAAUUGGCUCUGUCUAGCCAGCAGGACAAGGUUGAACCCACUGAGCAGUUACAAGGCUAUUUUGCCCAUUCCUGAAACAAUGUGUUACCAUGGGACAUACUUGAAUUUAUUUUCUGGAUGUUUGCGAAGCACAGUUAACUCAGGGAGGAGCCAUAUGUCAUUACCCAGAAUCCAUUCUAGAGGUAAUCUAGAGGUUUCUUUUCUUUUUCUUUUUUUUUUUUGAGAUGGAGUCUUGGUCUGUCACCCAGGAUAGAGUACAGAGACACAGUCUUGGCUCACUGCAACCUCUGCCUCCCGGAUUUAAGCAAUUCUCCUUCCUCAGCCUCCUGAGUAGCGGGGAUUACAGGCAUGAACCACCAUGCCUAGCUAAUUUUUGUAUUUUUAGUAGAGACGGGGUUUCAUCAUGUUAGCCAGGCUGGUCUGGAACUCCUGACCUCAGGUGAUCCGCCUGCCUCGGCCUCCCAAAGUGCUGAGAUUACAGGUGUAAGCCACUGGGACUGGCCUCUUUUACUUGCUUUUUUAAAGGCAAGGUCUUGCCCUUUCAUCCAGGCUGGAGUGCAGUGGCGUGACUGUAGCUCACUGCAGCCUACAACUCCUGGACUCAAGGGAAUCUACUUCCUCCUAAGUAGCUGGAACUACAAGCACAUGCCACCACACUUGGUGUUUUUUACAUUUUUUUUUUGAGACAAGGUCUAGUUUUAUGGCCCAGGCCGGUCUCAAACUCCUGGCCUCUAACAAUCCUCCCACCUUGGCCUCCCAAAGUGCUGGGAUUAUAGGCUUGAGCCACUGUACCCAGCCCCUAGAUAGUUUUUCAAAUUUUUGUGAGGGUGUUGUUUUCAAACAGAAAUUCAAACCAAAACAGAAAAUUUAUGACAUGAGGUGGCUAAUCCAUGAAGCGAAGGUAUAGUUUCACAGAGCUAGAAGAAAACUUACUGAGGGUUUAUAAAGCAGGGUACCAAAUAUAUUUACACUAAUUACUGUUCUGAGGGGAGAUUUUAUUAUUGACUGCUUUGAGCUUUUGUUCUAUUUGAAGGAUAACAUUUUUUGUUCAGGUGCUUUCGUUCAAGCUGUUACGUGGGAGAUGGUCUUGCAGAGAGCCUUCUAAAAACAAAUUUCAAUUUCGAGGGAAAUGAAAUAGUAAUAUUAACAUCAGUGCCAUUUUUUUUUUUCUUUGAAACCCUGAAAC